rnacentral:lncRNA from 1 species
GGUUCCUAUCGGUCGACGGGCUGUGGGUGUAUUGCUCAGUGACGGCUUCGUUUAGUUUCUCCCAGCACCCAUAAUUCAAAGCAAGAACAACGACAUUAUGGGGAGAAAACGUCCUUUUGUGAAACAGAAGGCAAUCCACACCAUUAGUAAACCCCAUCAAUUUUGCCUUCAGAAUAUAUCCAGAUUCUUCCCAAUUCUACCGCCACCAUUCUGGUUCAAGCUACCUGGAGUCUCAAGAGGGGAAGUGCAAUAGGAUCAGAAAGAAUGUUUGAAGAAAUAAUGGUUGAAAAACUCCCAAAUUUGAUGAAAGAGGUGAAUCUACAUAUCCAAGAAGCUCAAUGAACUCUAAAGAGACCCACACUGAGACGUGUUAUAGUCAAACUGUCAAAAGCCAAAGACAAUGAAAACAACAAGAGAGAAACAACUCAUCACAUACAAGAGAGCCUUAAUAAAAUUACUAGCUGAUUUCUUAUAAAAAACCAUGGAGACCAGAAAAUAAGAAUGUCGAUCAAGAAUUCUAUAUCUGACAAAACUAUUCCUAAAGAAAUUCUCAGAUAAACAAAAGCUACAGAAUUUACUAGUAGACCUGCCCUACAAGAAAUGCUAAAGAGAAUCUCUCAGAUUGAAAUUAAAGGACAUCAGACAGUAACUUGAAGCCAUAUGAAAAAAUAAAGAGCAAUUGUGAAAAAUCUGUCUUUGUUUUUCUAUUCUGUGGCUAGCUCUGUGUUCCCCUUACCAUUCUUUCUGCCUUAAUUUCAUUUACUUUGAGAGCAGUAAUUAUGGCAAACAAACAACAAAAACAACCAGUAGUAGGAGGUAGAAGACAUAUAGAAAUGGUUCCCAAUCAUUUUAAAACUGUGGAUGUAAGGCCAAAUUACUUAAUGUUUAGAAGCCUCAGUUUUCAUAUAAAAUGAAGAGAAUAGUCUGACUCUCACAAGUUGUUAAGAUUAAGAGCAGUUUUGACUGCUAUUAAUUGAAGGAAUUCUCAGAAUAAGGCAUAUUGCUAACAUUUACAGAAAGAUGGUUUUGCAAAGAAAAUUAUCUAUAUAAUGCUGUCCUCUGUCUCUUCCAGCAAUUUGAGUCAGAAUACCUCUAGUUAACAGACAUACCUCUAGAGUAGACCUUAGAUGAACAUAUAAGUAAAUAAUGGCAUAAUGAUCAUCAUAAUCCCAGUAACAUUAGCAGCAACCAAUAUAUACUAUUUAUCAUAUGUCAUGUUAUUCUAGUAAGGUAGGUAUACUAAUAUUCCCAUAUUUAAGAGGAGGAAGCUGAAGCACAGUGAAGUUAAGUGACUUGUCCAAUAUUACACAACUUGUAAGCAGCAGAGUUUUAACUUAGGCAGUAUGAAUCCAAAGACUGUACUUUUCACCACCACAUUAUGCGGCAUCUGUUUCCUCUGUCAAGUACAAGGAACUAGAUUAUAUGGGAUUGUUAUGACUGGCCUGCGUGGUCAGAGUUUGAUAUUGGUCUAUGAGGAACAACAAAGAAUAACACAAAUCAUGGAAGGAGGGAAUUACCCUAAGGCAAAAAGCCAUAAGCAGAUUUAUCCUGUCUUCUGCCACUAUUUCUCAGGCAUUUACAGAGUUGUACUGGGAAAGGAAGGAAUAAAAAGACACUUAAGAGGUUGCUUAAAAUUUUUUUUGAGUUUUGUUAUCAGGUCUAGACUAGAACAUUAUUUUGCUUCUGUGGUUCAGGGUCAACAAAAUAACCCAAUAUUCUAUAACAAAAUAGCCUCUAUCUUAAUUUCCCUUAUCCAGUUAUAGGGAAAUGGGUCCUGGUGGCUCUAACAUGUUUUAAGUUUGUUAAAAGUUUAUUCAUUUAGGCCGGGCGCGGUGGCUCACGCCUGUAAUCCCAGCACU